UACGUAGGGGGCGAGCGUUACCCGGAAUUACUGAGCGUAAAGGGGGCGUAGGCGGCCCGGCAAGUCAAGUGUGAAAUCCGGCGGCUCAACCGCUGGGCUGCGCUUGAAACUGCCGGGCUUGAGUGCAGCAGAGGGAGACGGAAUUGCCGGUGUAGGGGUGAAAUCCGUAGAUAUCAGGAGGAACACCGGUGGCGAAGGCGACCUGCUGGACUGGCCCUGACGCUGAGGCGCGAAAGCGUGGGGAGCGAACAGG
rnacentral:rRNA from 1 species